AGGAAAUAGAUUGGGGUGGGAAGAUGGUCCCAGGCCUGGUGGAACUAGGAAGUAAUAGGGCCAGGAUUGCAGUCCAACACCAGAGGGGAUAGUGACCACUGCGAUGGGCUAGGAGUCCAGAGAAAGAUGGGUAUGCAUUACUUUUCUCUAUUUACUGGUGGAGGAUCUGCACAGUCAUUGUCUUCCCUGAGCCUCAGUGUCCUCAGCUGUAAAUUGGGGAUGAUAACCUCUUAUAGGCUGGGCAGAACUCGAUAAUGUAUACUAAGUGUGAAUUCAGGACUUGGUAUGUAGUAAGUGCUCAAUAAGUGACUAUUGUCAGUAAUAUUAAUAAUAUUCUUUCUCACUGCUAGUAGGUCAUCUCUUACUCUAUGUUGCCAAGUCUUCCCUCCUUCCCUUGCUGGAGGGCCUCUAUCUGUUGUAUCUUUCAACAUGUCGUCAAAGAAGUUGGUAGAGGGUACUACGAAUUCUUUAAAUAUUCAUGUCACAUGCAGCCAGAUCAAUGUUUAUAGCAGCUCAAUUCAUAAUAGGUAAGCUAUGGAACCAACCUAGAUGUCCUUCAGUGGAUGAAUGGAUAAAGAAAAUGUGAUACAUAGAUACAAUGGAAUAUAUUACUCGGCCUCAAAGAAGAAUGAAAUUAUGGCAUUUGCAGGUAAAAGAAUGGAACUAGAGAACAUCAUGCUAAGUGAAAUAAGUCAAUCCCCCAAAUCCAAAAGCAGAAUGUUCUCUCUGAUAAGUGGAUGCUGAUCCAUAGUGUGGGGGAGGUAGGGAAGAAUGAAGGAACUUUGGAUUGUGCAGAGGGGACUGGGGGCCGUAUGGAGAUGGGAAGGACGGUGGAAUGAGACGGAGAUUAUUACCCUAUAUACAUAUAUGAUUACACCACUGGUGUGACUCUGCACCAUGUUCAGCCAGAGGAAGGAGAAGUUGUGCUCCAUUUGUGUACAGUGUGUCAAAAUGCAUUCUACUGUCACGUAUAACUAAUUAGAACAAAUUAAAAAAUAAAAUAAAAUAAUAAAAAAAUAUUCAUGUCACAGGCAGGUGGCUUCCCUGUUUCGUUCUGGAGCUGCAUAGGGACAGCCUUUGUCCUUUCAGCAGUGGAAAUCAUGAGGAGAGAUGACUGCCGUGGCUGGAGUCUGGCCUGGAAUCCUCCAGAAAAUGGUCAGUAUUUGGGGGUCUGGGUUUCUAGGAAGGGAGUUAUCUCAGGGCCUCAGUAACCUGGAGUGGUGGGCAGGUGGGCAGUCAUCUAGAGCCAUCUAUAAGGGACACAAAAACAUGGAGGGGAUGUUUGUCCAAGUCGCCUUCAGGGAGGUUUCAUGAAGUUGGAGGAUCUUUCUUGGAUAAGCUGUUUGGGCUGUGGCACAAUCUCUCAGGUGGUGGGUCAGAGCCCAGGAUGGUUCCUAAAGGAGAGGAAGGCCACUAACUGGUGGGCUUUUGGAUUUCUGGGUACGUUUGGGGCCAAAGCUGCAUAGUGUGGAGCAGUGGUUGA
rnacentral:lncRNA from 1 species